AGAACGAACGCUGGCGGCAUGCCUAAUACAUGCAAGUCGAACGAACACUUCGGUGUUAGUGGCGCACGGGUGCGUAACGCGUGGGAAUCUGCCCUUGGGUUCGGAAUAACAGUUGGAAACGACUGCUAAUACCGGAUGAUAUCGAAAGAUCAAAGAUUUAUCGCCCAGGGAUGAGCCCGCGUAGGAUUAGCUAGUUGGUGAGGUAAAGGCUCACCAAGGCGACGAUCCUUAGCUGGUCUGAGAGGAUGAUCAGCCACACUGGGACUGAGACACGGCCCAGACUCCUACGGGAGGCAGCAGUAGGGAAUAUUGGACAAUGGGCGCAAGCCUGAUCCAGCAAUGCCGCGUGAGUGAUGAAGGCCUUAGGGUUGUAAAGCUCUUUUACCCGAGAUGAUAAUGACAGUAAUCGGGAGAAUAGGCCCCGGCUAAACUCCGUGCCAGCAGCCGC
rnacentral:rRNA from 1 species